rnacentral:rRNA from 1 species
AGGACGAACGCUGGCGGCGUGCCUCAUACAUGCAAGUGGAGCGACGAACCAGGAUUUAUCCUGGGGCAAAGCCGCGAACGGGUGAGUAACACGUGGGUUACCUGCCCCGAUGAUUGGGACAACCCGAGGAAACUCGGGCUAAUACCAAAUGUGUUCUUGGUCGUGAUGACCAAGAAGAAAGGAAGCCUCGGCCUCCGCAUCGGGAUGGGCCCGCGGCCCAUUAGCUUGUUGGUGGGGUAACGGCCUACCAAGGCGAUGAUGGGUAGCUGGUCUGAGAGGACGAUCAGCCACACUGGGACUGAGACACGGCCCAGACUCCUACGGGAGGCAGCAGUUAGGAAUUUUUCCGCAAUGGGCGAAAGCCUGACGGAGCAACGCCGCGUGAGUGAUGAAGACCUUCGGGUUGUAAAGCUCUGUCGGAGGGGAAGAACACAAUGACGGUACCCUCCAAGAAACGCCCGGCUAACUACGUGCCAGCAGCCGC